rnacentral:rRNA from 1 species
GAUGAACGCUGGCGGCGUGCCUAAUACAUGCAAGUCGAGCGAAUGGAUUGAGAGCUUGCUCUUAUGAAGUUAGCGGCGGACGGGUGAGUAACACGUGGGUAACCUGCCCAUAAGACUGGGAUAACUCCGGGAAACCGGGGCUAAUACCGGAUAACAUUUUGAACCGCAUGGUUCGAAAUUGAAAGGCGGCUUCGGCUGUCACUUAUGGAUGGACCCGCGUCGCAUUAGCUAGUUGGUGAGGUAACGGCUCACCAAGGCAACGAUGCGUAGCCGAGCUGAGAGGGGGAUCGGCCACACGGGGACUGAGACACGGCCCAGACUCCUACGGGAGGCAGCAGUAGGGAAUCUUCCGCAAUGGACGAAAGUCUGACGGAGCAACGCCGCGUGAGUGAUGAAGGCUUUCGGGUCGUAAAACUCUGUUGUUAGGGAAGAACAAGUGCUAGUUGAAUAAGCUGGCACCUUGACGGUACCUAACCAGAAAGCCACGGCUAACUACGUGCCAGCCGCCGCAGUAA